UCCACGUAUUCUCUCACCAAAUAACGCAUUUCAUUCAAAAUUAUUACUAAUUCCCAAAUUUGGAACAUUUACUAUUUUAUUUUCCAACAUAGAAAUCUCCGACGCCGUCAACAGCUCCGCCGUUCUUCCCCUUCUGCCCUAAUUUUCAAAUCGAAAUUUGGGGGUUGUUUGGUGGUGGUGGCACAUGGCGAACGGCGGAGAGGACGGUGUCGGUGGUAGGGCGGCGGGGCCGGAUUUCGAUCUUCCCGACGAGAUAUUAUCGGUGAUACCAACGGACCCCUACGAUCAGCUGGAUCUGGCGCGUAAGAUCACGUCCAUGGCGAUCGCGUCGCGCGUCACCAAGCUCGAGACGGAGGCCGGGAGUCUCCGCCGGAAGCUUCACGAGAAGGACCGCCUAAUUCAGCAGCUGGAGGAUAAGGUCGCCCAACUCGACGGCGCCUAUCAGGACGCCGAGUUCCGAUUGAAAGUUACGCGCGAAGAUAAUAUGAAGCUGGUGCAGGAAAGAGAUUCGUUGGUUAUGACAACAAAGAAGCUUAGUCGUGAUGUGGCGAAGCUAGAGACAUUUAAGAGGCAACUCCUGCAGUCAUUGAAUGAAGAAAAUGCACCAGCAGAAACUGUUGACAUUGGAACUUAUGACCAAUCAGCGCCCAAGGCUUACAUAACAAAUGAUGAUUCAAAUGGCUAUACGAAUCAUCAUUCUUAUGGUGGUGCUACUGACCACACAAGCACAAAGGAUGAAGUUUCUACGCAAGCUGGGAAAAAGUUGUCCAUCGCACCCUAUAUAACUCCCCGUCUCACUCCUAGUGGAACUCCAAACGUGAUUUCCACUAGUGUAUCCCCGAGAAGGUACUCAGCAGCUACCACUCCUCAGAAAACCUCUGGUGCUACUUCUCCUUCUGCAAACUACGAUGGAAGAGGAUCCUCAUCGUCUUGGUACCCUUCCAGCCAGCAGUCGUCAGCUGCCAACUCUCCUCCUCGAGGACGUCCACUGCCAGGCCGUACUCCUCGAAUUGAUGGUAAAGAGUUCUUCCGUCAAGCAAGGAGUCGGUUAUCACUUGAGCAAUUCAGCGCGUUUCUGGCAAAUAUAAAGGAAUUAAACGCGCAAAGGCAGUCGCGGGAGGAGGCGCUGAGAAAAGCAGAAGAGAUAUUCGGGACAGACAAUAAGGAUCUGUAUCUCUCAUUUCAGGGGUUGCUAAACCGCAACCCGCACUAGAAAGGCGCAGUACGCUUGUUGGUUCAUACUCGAAUUGUUUUCCAUUUCCUCGUGGGGGAUGUGUCGUCCGAUUUUGACAGGCCCAGGCCACAACUCUAUAACCCUGCAGUCCCCAUCCAGGCCCCAACUAUUAAAUUGCAUGAAGUCGUUCAACUGUCGUUGGUCGCUGUUAAAUCAAUCCAUCCGAACAAAAAAUAUUGAAAUAUAUAGAGGACAGAAGUGAGAAAUUGGUGGAAGAAUGAUGAAGAAAUGGGUUAUAAAUAAGCUAAAAAUCGAAAAAAGAAAUAGGGGGUUUGGGUCCGGCCCGAAGGCUCCAUAAUGCUGGGCUGGGAUGCAAUUGGGCAUGGCCCUGGAUGCUCUAACGCUGAGCCGGGCUGCUCCACCGUCCCCAGGUGCGGCUCGGGCCGCGUUUUCUCCUCCUCCAACGCGCUAGGCCGUGGGCUAGGAUGCAGGUGCGGUCCUGCCUGCAGUGUUAUUCAUGCUCUAACGCUCGGAUUGGAAAUUGAUUCAUCUUUGUCUCUGUUUGGCUGAAUUUUGUGCAAUAAGUUGUGGAUGUAUAUCAUAAUUAAAUCUCAUUAGUAUACAUCAAUCUAUAGUUAAAGUUCAUAAUAUCAUAAAUUUGUUUUAUCUAGUGAGAUUAAUAAAAUUUAAUCGCAGGUAAUAUAUAUGUAUUGAGAUUAUUUUGUUUGGAA